AAGAGAGUUUGAUCCUGGCUCAGGAUGAACGCUGGCGGCGUGGAUAAUGCAUGCAAGUCGAACGCCCCGCCCUUUCUUUGAGCAAUCUUAGAAAGGGCGGGGAGUGGCAGACGAGUUAGUAACACGUAGGAACUUACCCCCGACGCGGCCAUAACUCUUCGAAAGAGGAGCUAAUAGCCGAUGGUCUCCGAUCUCGCAAGAGCAUCGGAGUAAAGGAGCAAUCCGGUCGGGGAGAGGCCUGCGGGCUAUCAGCUAGUUGGCGAGGUAAUGGCUCACCAAGGCUAUGACGGCUAGGGGGCGUGAGAGCGCGAUCCCCAACGAUGGAACUGAGACACGGUCCAUACACCUACGGGUGGCAGCAGUAGAGAAUAUUCGACAAUGGGGGAAACCCUGAUCGAGCGACGCCGCGUGCGGGAAGAAGCUCUUCGGAGCGUAAACCGCUUUUCUCUGGGAGGAACUAAAGUGACUGUACCAGAGGAAUAAGGGCUUGCUAACCUCGUGCCAGCAGCCGCGGUAAGACGAGGAGCCCAAGCGUUAUCCGGAUUUACUGGGCGUAAAGGGUGUGUAGGGGGCAUGGUUAGCCCCGCCUUAAAUUCUUAGGCUCAACCUAAGAGGUGGGCGGGGAACGGCCAAGCUUUAGAGGGUGCCAGAGGCAAAUGGAACUCAUGGUGUAGGGGUGAAAUCCGUUGAUAUCAUGGGGAACACCGAAGGCGAAGGCAAUUUGCUGGGGCAUUCCUGACCCUGAAACACGAAAGCGUGGGGAUCAAAAAGGAUUACAAAUUUGUAGAUACCCUUGUAGUCCACGCCCUAAACGAUGCACGCUAGGCAUCCGAAGUAUCGACCCUUCGGGAGCCGUAAGCUAACGCGUUAAGCGUGCCGCCUGGGAAGUACGAACGCAAGUUUAAAACUCAAAGGAAUAGACGGGGACUCGCACAAGCGGUGGAGCAUGUGGUUCAAUUCGAUGGUAAACGAAAAACCUUACCAGGGCUUGAAAUGGAUCUGACGGCGCUCGAAAGAGUUGCCCUCUCACAAGGACAGAUUCACAGGUGAUGCAUGGCUGUCGUCAGUUCGUGGCUUGAGUUGUUCCCUUAAGUGGGGUAACGAACGCAACCCUUAUCGCGCGUUACAAGUGUCGCGCGAGACUGCCUCGAUAAACGGGGAGGAAGGCGAGGAUGACGCCAAGUCCGCAUGUCCCUCUGAUGCCCUGGGCUACACACGUGCUACAAUGCCCUCUACAAUGGGCCGCGAUGCCGUAAGGCGGAGCAAAUCCCAUCAAAGGAGGGCCCAGUUCGGAUUGAGGUCUGCAACCCGACCUCAUGAAGUUGGAAUCGCUAGUAAUCGCAGGUCAGCUAUACUGCGGUGAAUACGUUCUCGAGUCUUUUAAUGUUGGAGAAAUGAGAGCGCUAAGAAACGUUGGGAAAGGGCGGGGGAAGGUAAGCUCGGUGACAAAGCAAAAGUCGUAACAAGGCACGGCUAGCGGAAGCUGGUCGUGGA
rnacentral:rRNA from 1 species